rnacentral:RNase_P_RNA from 1 species
UAAGUAGGACAAAUGAUCGCGGCUGCAUCGCCGAAAGGCCGCAGACGAGGAAAGUCCGGGCUUCAUAGGGCAGGAUGCCGGAUAACGUCCGGUGGAGGUGACUCCAAGGCCAGUGCAACAGAAAUAUACCGCCGGCUUUUGCCGGUAAGGGUGGAAAGGCAGCUUAAGAGACUACCGCCCUGUUGGUAACAACAGGGGCACAUGUAAACCCCAUCCGAAGCAAGACCAAAACGAGAACGAUACAGUUGCCCGCUGUGUUUUCGGGUAGGUCGCUCGAACCUGUCGGUAACGGCAGGUCUAGAUAGAUGAUCAUUCAACGACAUAACCCGGCUUAUCGUCCUGCUUACUUU